GAUGAACGCUAGCGGCAGGCCUAACACAUGCAAGUCGAGGGGUAACGGGGAGUGCUUGCACUCUGCCGACGACCGGCGCACGGGUGCGGAACGCGUAUGGAACCUACCUUUGUCAGGGGAAUAGCCCAGAGAAAUUUGGAUUAAUGCCCCAUGGUAAUGCGGAAUUGCAUGAUUUUGCAUUUAAAGAUUUAUCGGACAAAGAUGGCCAUGCGUACCAUUAGCUUGUUGGUAAGGUAACGGCUUACCAAGGCAACGAUGGUUAGGGGCCCUGAGAGGGGGAUCCCCCACACUGGUACUGAGACACGGACCAGACUCCUACGGGAGGCAGCAGUGAGGAAUAUUGGACAAUGGGCGGGAGCCUGAUCCAGCCAUGCCGCGUGCAGGAUGACGGCCCUAUGGGUUGUAAACUGCUUUUAUACGGGAAGAAACCUAUCUACGUGUAGAUAGCUGACGGUACCGUAAGAAUAAGGACCGGCUAACUCCG
rnacentral:rRNA from 1 species